CCUCCAGGGGCAGCUGUCAACAUCUGGGUCUGCACUUAGGGCCAGACAAGAGGGUGGGAGCUGGGUCCCUGGUAACUCAGCUGUCUCAGGG
ensembl:misc_RNA